AACGAACGCUGGCGGCAGGCUUAACACAUGCAAGUCGAGCGCCCCGCAAGGGGAGCGGCAGACGGGUGAGUAACGCGUGGGAAUAUGCCCUUCUCUACGGAAUAGCCUCGGGAAACUGGGAGUAAUACCGUAUACGCCCUACGGGGGAAAGAUUUAUCGGAGAAGGAUUAGCCCGCGUUGGAUUAGGUAGUUGGUGGGGUAAUGGCCUACCAAGCCUACGAUCCAUAGCUGGUUUGAGAGGAUGAUCAGCCACACUGGGACUGAGACACGGCCCAGACUCCUACGGGAGGCAGCAGUGGGGAAUCUUAGACAAUGGGGGAAACCCUGAUCUAGCCAUGCCGCGUGAGUGAUGAAGGCCUUAGGGUUGUAAAGCUCUUUCAGCUGGGAAGAUAAUGACGGUACCAGCAGAAGAAGCCCCGGCUAACUCCGUGCCAGCCGCCGCGGUAACAC
rnacentral:rRNA from 1 species